GGCGAACGCUGGCGGCGUGCUUAACACAUGCAAGUCGAACGGAAAGGCCCUGCUUUUGUGGGGUGCUCGAGUGGCGAACGGGUGAGUAACACGUGAGUAACCUGCCCUUGACUUUGGGAUAACUUCAGGAAACUGGGGCUAAUACCGGAUAGGAGCUCCUGCUGCAUGGUGGGGGUUGGAAAGUUUCGGCGGUUGGGGAUGGACUCGCGGCUUAUCAGCUUGUUGGUGGGGUAGUGGCUUACCAAGGCUUUGACGGGUAGCCGGCCUGAGAGGGUGACCGGCCACAUUGGGACUGAGAUACGGCCCAGACUCCUACGGUAGGCAGCAGGGGGGAAUAUUGCACAAUGGGCGGAAGCCUGAUGCAGCAACGCCGCGUGCGGGAUGACGGCCUUCGGGUUGUAAACCGCUUUCGCCUGUGACGAAGCGUGAGUGACGGUAAUGGGUAAAGAAGCACCGGCUAACUACGUG
rnacentral:rRNA from 1 species